rnacentral:rRNA from 1 species
CCUACGGGUGGCAGCAGUCGAGAAUCAUUCACAAUGGGGGAAACCCUGAUGGUGCGACGCCGCGUGUGGGAAUGAAGGUCUUCGGAUUGUAAACCCCUGUCAUGUGGGAGCAAAUUAAAAAGAUAGUACCACAAGAGGAAGAGACGGCUAACUCUGUGCCAGCAGCCGCGGUAAUACAGAGGUCUCAAGCGGUGUUCGGAAUCACUGGGCGUAAAGCGUGCGUAGGCUGUUUCGUAAGUCGUGUGUGAAAGGCGCGGGCUCAACCCGCGGACGGCACAUGAUACUGCGAGACGAGAGUAAUGGAGGGGGAAGCGGAAUUCGCGGUGUAGCAGUGAAAUGCGUAGAUAUCGAGAAGAACAC